UUAGAACACAAUUAUUACAAUUAUAAUAAAUUAAUGUAUAAAUUAACAUAAAUUAUUUUACACCAUUCCGUUAUUAUUGUACAUAGUAAGUAAGUAAGUAAGUAAGUACUUUAUUUAGACACAUUUCACCAGUGAGCCUGGGGCUCGUUUAAAUGUGAACAUGUAUACUAAAAUUAAAAUGACUCGUUCAAAACAAAGAUUUUGUUGUAAAUAUAACUGAAACAAAUUACCUUACAGGUAGUAUCAAGUCAUGAUGAUAAUUAUAAAUAUACAAAAUAAGUCAUCAGUCCCCUUAUCUUCUGUACAUUUUGCCACUGGCAUGAUUCAUUCAAUUUCAUGUGUUUCGAUCAUUGUCAUGUAGGCCCAACAGCUAAUCACACAACACAAAUUGAUUCUCACUGAUCUUGACAGACAACCUGAGCUAGAUGUUGCUAUUGAUGGGGCUGAUGAUGUGGAUUCUGACCUAACUGCAAUCAAAGGAGGAGGAGGCUGUUUAACCCAAGAGAAAAUUGUAGCAUCUUGUGCAAAGCAGUUCAUUAUUAUUGCGGAUGACAGGAAAGACUCAAAGCAACUAGGCGAUGGAGUAAGUCAGCUUGUGCUUUACCUAGUAGUACUU